rnacentral:rRNA from 1 species
GAGUUUGAUCCUGGCUCAGAACGAACGCUGGCGGCAUGCCUCAUACAUGCAAGUCGAACGAAGCCUUCGGGCUUAGUGGCGAACGGGUGCGUAACGCGUGGGAACCUGCCCUUAGGUCCGGAAUAACAGUUAGAAAUGACUGCUAAUGCCGGAUAAUGUCUUCGGACCAAAGAUUUAUCGCCUUUGGAUGGGCCCGCGUAGGAUUAGGUAGUUGGUGUGGUAAUGGCGCACCAAGCCGACGAUCCUUAGCUGGUCUGAGAGGAUGAUCAGCCACACUGGGACUGAGACACGGCCCAGACUCCUACGGGAGGCAGCAGUAGGGAAUAUUGGACAAUGGGCGAAAGCCUGAUCCAGCAAUGCCGCGUGAGUGAUGAAGGCCUUAGGGUUGUAAAGCUCUUUUACCAGGGAUGAUAAUGACAGUACCUGGAGAAUAAGCUCCGGCUAACUCCGUGCCAGCAGCCGCGGUAAUACGGAGGGAGCUAGCGUUGUUCGGAAUUACUGGGCGUAAAGCGCGCGUAGGCGGCUAUCCAAGUCAGGGGUGAAAUCCCGGGGCUCAACCCCGGAACUGCCCUUGAAACUAGGUGGCUAGAAUACUGGAGAGGUGAGUGGAAUUCCGAGUGUAGAGGUGAAAUUCGUAGAUAUUCGGAAGAACACCAGUGGCGAAGGCGACUCACUGGACAGUUAUUGACGCUGAGGUGCGAAAGCGUGGGGAG